rnacentral:rRNA from 1 species
UUUAACGGAGAGUUUGAUCCUGGCUCAGGACGAACGCUGGCGGCGUGCCUAAUACAUGCAAGUCGAGC